rnacentral:lncRNA from 1 species
AAGACAAAGGAUUUGCUCUCUAAUUUCAAUGGGAAGAAGAAGAGAAUUAGUCUUGGAUCAAAUGGGAACCACAACCCCCUAUUUAUAAUCAUGUAACCAUAGUUACAUGUAUGUAAUCUUAGUUAGCCCAUCAUUAACUAAGGUUACUCUAUAUGGGUAUCUACACAUAAAUUAGUCUUACACUUUAUAUGACAAUGUAUUGGCC